UACAGAGGGGGCAAGCGUUGUUCGGAAUUACUGGGCGUAAAGGGCGCGUAGGCGGCCUUCUAAGUCGAACGUGAAAUCCCCGGGCUCAACCCGGGAACUGCGUCCGAUACUGGAAGGCUUGAAUCCGGGAGAGGGAUGCGGAAUUCCAGGUGUAGCGGUGAAAUGCGUAGAUAUCUGGAGGAACACCGGUGGCGAAGGCGGCAUCCUGGACCGGCAUUGACGCUGAACAGCGAAAGCUAGGGGAGCAAACGGG
rnacentral:rRNA from 1 species